rnacentral:rRNA from 1 species
AACGGCCGUACCGUGCUGAAUAUACCGGUUCUCGUUAGAUCACCGAAGUCAAGCAUCAUUGGGCGCGGUCAGUACUUGGGUGGGUGACCACCUGGGAACACUGCGUGCCGUU